rnacentral:rRNA from 1 species
CCCUUAGAUGUUCUGGGCUGCACGCGCGCUACACUGAAGCUAUCAACACGUUUUCCCUCCCUGAGAAGGGCGGGUAACCUUUUGAAUCAGCUUCGUGGUAGGGAUCGGGGCUUGCAAUUGUUCCCCGUGAACCAGGAAUUCCUAGUAGACGCGAGUCAUAAGCUCGCAUCGAUUAAGUCCCUGCCCUUUGUACACACCGCCCGUCGCUACUAUCGAUUGAACGUUUUAGUGAGGCAUUUGGACCGACGCAUCUCAGUUUAACCGCUGGUUUGUGUUGGAAAGACUUCCAAACUUGAGCGUUUAGAGGAAGUAAAAGUCGUAACA